rnacentral:rRNA from 1 species
CCUACGGGAGGCAGCAGUGGGGAAUAUUGGACAAUGGGCGCAAGCCUGAUCCAGCAAUGCCGCGUGAGUGAUGAAGGCCUUAGGGUCGUAAAGCUCUUUUACCAGGGAUGAUAAUGACAGUACCUGGAGAAUAAGCUCCGGCUAACUCCGUGCCAGCAGCCGCGGUAAUACGGAGGGAGCUAGCGUUGUUCGGAAUUACUGGGCGUAAAGCGUACGUAGGCGGUUAUUCAAGUCAGAGGUGAAAGCCCGGGGCUCAACCCCGGAACGGCCUUUGAAACUAGGUAGCUAGAAUCUUGGAGAGGUCAGUGGAAUUCCGAGUGUAGAGGUGAAAUUCGUAGAUAUUCGGAAGAACACCAGUGGCGAAGGCGACUGACUGGACAAGUAUUGACGCUGAGGUACGAAAGCGUGGGGAGCAAACAGGAUUAGAUACCCUGGUAGUCCACGCCGUAAACGAUGAUAACUAGCUGUUCGGGCACUUGGUGCUUGAGUGGCGCNGCUACGACAUUAAUUAUACCGUCCGUCGGGUAGGUACGGUCGCGAAGAAGUAAAACUAACAAAUAAGUAAGUUAGUACGGUUCGUUGUAGAGUUGCCGACGGACGACGACGAGGGAGGAGG